rnacentral:rRNA from 1 species
AUGAGUCCGUUUGAGCGGUCAAUCGGCAAGUACGCAGAGGAGCCUACAAAAAGCAUGGUGUGCCCAGAACUAAGACUCAUUUUUGAUUCGCUCGGUGAGGCGUAUGACUUCUACAACCUGGGAAAUUGGGUUCGGGAUAUGGUAUGUCAAGAGCAGACUACGAAAUCAAUGCAGGAGAUCGCUUGUGGUUGCUCGGCCAUGAAUGUUGUUCGGAUGGGGGAUGCCAGUGCGGAAGCGUUUGAGCAUAUGUUGGCUGGACUGAAGGCAUUGCUGGUGAGCGGUGCACCAUUUGCAGAGAAGAGGGAUGGCUUGGGCACUUGCCCUGACCGGGGCGGAUGCUCUGAAGAAACGGCGGAGGCCGGGGAAAUGCAAGAACUAUGGAAUGGAAGGGCGCCACCUGGACACGUGCACUUGGCUGCUUGUGAGCAUUGCUCCACACUUAUUCGUCCAGUUCGGGACUUGAGGCCAAACUAUAGGUUUUCUCUUUACCUCGUGAGCUUUGCAGUUCACUGGCUCUUUUACGGCGAGCUCGCCGGCGGCCGCGUGGAGCACGACCGGCCUGCCUACCGGAGCAAACGAGGGAAGUUGUAUUCGAGUCAAGGGAUAGAUGGUAAGGGACGGGCCGUGCAGACGUCCAUAUUGGCCGUGGCCCCGGGACGGCUCAGCCUGGUUCAGGAAACAGACUGGGCCGUGCACGUUUCAGCUGAUCCGCGACUACAUUAA